ensembl:lncRNA
AAGAGCCGUGUCCCCACGGAGCCGAAUCACAUGACCUAGCCACACCACAGCCUCUUGCCACGCUUCAGCUCUCCGGAUAGGUUCAUCGAAGGUGUUAAUGGACCGUUGGCCGGGAAAAAAAAAAAAAAACCAACCCUCAACAUAUCCACUCAGAGGCCAAAUGUCAUUCCACAUGUGCCUUUCCGAUGGAUUAAAGGUGCUUAUGUUUUUGUGAGAAUUUUAAGUAAAUAUUUGUAUUGUAUUGUUAUAAAUGUUAAGUGUGCCUGGCUUUCAGUCUUGCAUGGAAACCCAGCCUCAGGCCCAUGGGGAAAGCGGGCAGCUGGGACAAGGCACCCGCAUGGGCUUACAUCCGGCUCUCGGUAGAGGGCAUCUCCUUAACCCCAAACCCCACAAGAAUGUGCAAUAAAUUGGAAAUUCGCCCAGUCAGCAAGAAGCUGUGUUGCUGCUGCAGGUGCCUGGGCCCCUUUCCAGACUCUUAAUUAUUUUUUUCUUUUUGAUUAGCUCUGGAUAAUUUUUUUAUGGGGAGGGAAAAGAGGCAUUUGAUAUCCUGCCUUUUCUACAUGCACUCAGAUUAAAACACAGGCUUAAAUUAAUUCUGAUUGCUUCCUUUUUCCAUGCUCCUUCCUGCAGAGGCUGAUGGGAUGGUGUCCAGGGCUGGAGAGCCACGUGUUCUGUAGAUGAUAAAAUAACUAUGAACAUUGGUGCUGAUUUUUUUACACUUGUCUCUUGUGGUGCUAUGUGUCCAGAGAUCCUUAGGGUACCCUGCUCCCUCCCCCACCUUCCUUUACCCUGGCCAUUUCUCCACAUUCUGAGAUUUUGCCAAGGACCUGAAGAUCAGAUUGGUGCCAGAGAGCUUUCUUCCCUCCUGGUACCUUGUGCUCAUGAUGGUGGGGAGUCCCUUUCUGAAGCCUGUCCACCUGUCUGGGCUCUGCUUACAUCAUUUGAAAACACAUGAGCAAAACAAAGACUUUCUGCAUGGCACAUGGUGUGUCCAUGGUCUUGUUUAGUUGCUGAACGUUUGUGGUGCUAAUUUCUGAGUGUGUGCCAAGAUGGAUGGGAGCUGCUGGGUGCCCGUGCCGACAGCCAGACUGCUUUGUGAGCAGCACGUGGCCCGAGAAAUGUGUAAUGGACUCUGGCUCCAGGGUUGCUGAGCUGAUUGGGUUUCCACCAGAGGAGUGUCCUGGGUGCAGCAGCCAGCGCUGGGUUGAUCGAGAUCCCUCUGCAUGCUGCCCUCCCACUCCUCCUCCAGGGUGUGUGUGUGUGUGGUGGUUAAGGCGGGAGGGGUGCUGCCUUCUGAGUGCAGAGAUCUCCAGGACCAACAAGGAAAACAGAAGCCUCACUGAGAGUUGUCCUCUUGUCUCCUUCCACCAUGAGAAAGCUAUGGCGCCCACAGAGAGCCAGCCAUCAAUCUGGUGCUUGUGUCCCUACCCCACCCGUGAAGUGAAGGAAACCACGGUGAAGCACCCAGGAGCAGCCAGGAUUGAUGACCGCCACCAACAGGCAUCCCCCAAAGUACCCUGAAGAACAAGUUCUACUCUUGCCAAAGAAAUGCCUGGCCUGGAGAGCUCUCCUGAAAGCCAGGAUGCCGUCGUGAGCCAUGGACCGCUGUGCACGCCUCUGCAUGAGAAAAAGCCAUAUUGGAAGGUGGCCAUAUGCCCCGUGGAUUCUGUGUAGGUCAUGUGAUUCGGUUUCUGUCUCCAGCUCCAUCUGAUUUCGCUCUGUCCUGUUCUUCUGUUGGUCCCUCCCAAGUUGUAAUUUGUAUUGAAACCCAAAAUGUGUCCUGUUCUCCUCAGUCCACUUUAGCUCCAAUAUUUUACAAUAAAAUUACUUCUUAUAUUUGCAGAAAAUGCCUCUGGCAUCCUUUUAUGUUUCCAUUUUCUCUGGUGUGCGCACUCUCUCCACAUAUAUAAUAUAUAUAAUAUAUAUUAUAUAUUAUAAAAUUGGGCAUUGCUGGUGAAACUUCACACAAAGUAAACAGAAGGGCUGUGAUAAAAACUAUAGAACCUUGGUUCCUUUAAAAUUCCAGGCCAAACGAUAUAUUGUAUAUUUCCCAGCAGUCUAACCUAAGCCUCAGAUUUUAACUUCUCCCCAGGAAGAGUGUUAUAAAAUAUUUUAAAACUGUGUAACAAAGGAAUCAUUGUAACAGUGUCUCAAUAAAAGAGUUUACUGUUUACACCCC